rnacentral:misc_RNA from 1 species
GAAAUGCGAUAAGUAAUGUGAAUUGCAGAAUUCCGUGAAUCAUCGAAUCUUUGAACGCACAUUGCGCCCUCUGGUAUUCCGGAGGGCAUGCCUGUUCGAGCGUCAUUACACCUCUCAAGCGCACUGGCUUGGUCAUGGGCUGCGCCGGUAAUGCGGCGGGCCUUAAAAUCGGUGGCGGUGCCUCCUGGCUGCACGCGUAGUACUUUGCUCGCGGCGCAGCGCCUGGUGGUGCCUGCCAGCAACCCCCCCAACAACACCUAGGUUGACCUCGGAUCAGGUAGGGAUACCCGCUGAACUUAA